rnacentral:rRNA from 1 species
UCAAGCCCCGGUAAACGGCGGUGGUAACUAUAACCAUCCUAAGGUAGCGAAAUUCCUUGUCGGGUAAGUUCCGACCUGCACGAAUGGCGUAACGACUUCCCCACUGUCUCGACCAGGAGCUCGGCGAAAUUGCAGUACGAGUAAAGAUGCUCGUUAAGCGCAGAAGGACGAAAAGACCCCGGGACCUUUACUAUACCUUGGUAUUGGCAUUCGGUGUGGAUUGUGUAGCAUAGGCGGAAGGCUUCGAAGCCACGGCGCCAGCCGCGGUGGAGCCGCAAGGUGAAAUACCGCUCUGUUCGCAUUGGAUGUCUAACCUCGACCAGUCAUCCUGGUCAGGGACAGUGCCUGGCGGGUAGUUUAACUGGGGCGGUUGCCUCCCAAAGAGUAACGGAGGCGCUCAAAGGUUCCCUCAGCCCGGUUGGCAAUCGGGUGGCGAGUGUAAGUGCACAAGGGAGCUUGACUGCGAGACUGACGGGUCGAGCAGGGACGAAAGUCGGAACUAGUGAUCCGGUGCCGGUGUACGGACGCGGCAUCGCUCAACGGAUAAAAGGUACCCCGGGGAUAACAGGCUGAUCAUUCCCAAGAGUCCAUAUCGACGGGAUGGUUUGGCACCUCGAUGUCGGCUCGUCGCAUCCUGGGGCUGGAGCAGGUCCCAAGGGUUCGGCUGUUCGCCGAUUAAAGCGGCACGCGAGCUGGGUUCAGAACGUCGUGAGACAGUUUGGUCUCUAUCCUCUGCGCUCGUCGGAAUGUUGAGGAGGCCUGCCCAUAGUACGAGAGGACCUGGGUGGACGAACCUCUGGUAUGCCGGUUGUCACGCCAGUGGCACGGCCGGUUGGCUACGUUCGGAAGGGAUAACCGCUGAAAGCAUCUAAGCGGGAAGCCUGCUCCAAGAUAAGCAUUCCAUAGGACUACGGGUCCUUGAAGUCCCCAUGCAGAACACGUGGUUGAUAGGCCGGACGUGGAAGCCCCGCGAGGGGUGGAGCCGACCGGUACUAACGGACGAAAGGCAACACAAC